rnacentral:rRNA from 1 species
GAUCUUGGUGGUAGUAGCAAAUACUCAAAUGAGAACUUUGAGGACUGAAGUGGGGAAAGGUUCCGUGUGAACAGCAGUUGGACACGGGUUAGUCGAUCCUAAGCCAUAGGGAAACUCCGUUUUAAAGUGCAUGAUUAUCCAUGCCGCCCAUCGAAAGGGAAUCCGGUUAAGAUUCCGGAACCAGGACAUGGAUCUUUGACGGUAACGUAAAUGAAGUUGGUGACGCUGGCUAGGGCCCUGGGAAGAGUUAUCUUUUCUCCUUGACUGUCUAUAACCUUGAAAUCGGAUUAUCCGGAGCUAAGGUUCAAUGGCAGGCAAAGUGCAACACUUUCGUUGCAUCCGGUGCGUCCUAGACAGUCCUUGAAAAACCGACGGAACGUAUUACUCUCAUGCCUGGUCGUACUCAUAACCGCAGCAGGUCUCCAAGGUGAACAGCCUCUAGUUGAUAGAACAAUGUAGAUAAGGGAAGUCGGCAA